rnacentral:lncRNA from 1 species
GAAAGCAGCAGCACCAGAUCCAAGAUGGUGGCCAGCAGGAGGCUGAUGAAGGAGCUUGAAGAGAUCCGCAAAUGUGGAAUGAAAAACUUCCGUAACAUCCAGGUUGAUGAAGCUAAUUUAUUGACUUGGCAAGGGCUUAUUGUUCCUGACAACCCUCCAUAUGAUAAGGGAGCCUUCAGAAUUGAGAUCAACUUCCCAGCAGAGUAUCCCUUCAAGUCACCCAAGAUCACAUUUAAAACAAAGAUCUACCACCCUAACAUUGAUGAGAAGGGGCAGGUCUGUCUGCUCGUAAUUAAUGCGGAAAACUGGAAGCCAGCCACCAAGACUGACCAAGCAAUCCAGUCCCUCAGCCUGAGCACCCACUCCGGGCUGACCUAGCUGAAGAAUACUCUAAGGACCGUAAAAAAUUCUGUAAGAAUGCUGAAGAAAUUACAAAGAAAUACGAGGAAAAGCGACCUGUGGACUAAAAUCUGCCACGAGUGAUUCCAGCAAGUUUGAGCAGAGACCCUGAGCAGUGCAUUCAAACACCCCACAAAGCAGGACUCUGUGGAAAUUGACACGUUCCACCAACUGGCGUCUGCUUGUGGCAGUUACUAACUUUCUACAGUUUUCUUUUUCUUAAUCAAAAGUGGUCUAGGUAACCUGUAAAGAAGGAUUAAAAAAUUCAGGUGUUCUAAAAAAAAAAAAAAAAAAAGAA